CUAAUCAUUCACUUCAAUUCACAUGUCUUCCUCUUCGAAACCUCUGAACGAUGAUGCGGCCAUGGCUCUCUUCCGGUCUUUUGUUUGGGCUUAAGCGCAAGAUGUUUUCUUCGGUCCAGAGACGACCUAAUCUGCGUGAACCCUAAUCUAUGGUUUGUGGUUUUCGUUGCUUUUUCUACGGCGGAAGGCUGUGCCGAUUCAGUUCCGGUAACCGACGGCGUUGUGAUUACUCUGUCUUUAAUCCCAUUAAUUCAUAAUCCCACUACGAUAGCUUCAGUUGCAUUGUUCCUUCGAUGAUUUCGGUAUAAAAAGUCCGGUCGGUGUUCAUUGGUAGGCCAGGCUGCUUCGUUACUGGGAGGCUACAAAUGUCAAACGUGAUGACCAUGAUGCAAGCCACUAUCAGGCUUACAGAUUCUUCUUUGCUGAUCCGGUUCGACGAGUCCGCCUCUUUUGAAGAGCUAACUGAGCCGGUCUCUUCGAUCGGUGUUUCGAUUAUGGCCAACCCUCAACAGCUUCUGUCUGAUUCGAAAAAAUGGUCGUUGCAGGGAGACUGUUGUGACAAGGUCCUCCAUUUUCGAGAAGCAAGUAACGUGAGGAAGGACGGAGAGCUUAUGAUUAUGGUAGAUGAGAUGGUAUUAAUUCACAUUUGAAUUUAUGAUAUUAUUCACAUCUGAAUCUAUGGUAGUUGAGGUCUUUGGCAAUUAUGUUUAUUGCAAAUGUUUGAUUGUUUAUCUCCGUCAGCCCGUUUAACACCUCCUUAGAGAAUGAGGAAUUAUGAGCUCACAACUCAGUUUACGUGCGUAUGUUUGGUCAUUGCAGAGGUAAGGAUGAGCUUCCUUGGCGGUGAAAUGAAAUGCAUAUAUUCAUUUUAUCUACUGAAGUAAACCAUAGGUUAAGGAACUGUUAUCGUGGGGAUCAUCAUGUGAGCUCAAAUCAUUAUCACUGUAAACAUGGCAAGAGGUGUGAUCAUCAUGAUGCGGUGGAUGCAUAGAAGAUUGUGGGAUGGAGAGAUUUGAAAUCUGAGAGACAGAAAAAGUUAAGACUUCGGGUCUGAGAAGGAAGUCUAGACAAUUCUGUUGCUGCAAAGAGAGAUGUGUUGGCUGUAAAGCAACAACCAUGUGAUUCUGUUAAUACUGAAACAUCUGGCCUUAAAAAAGAUGGUGAGGUGGUCAGAUCUGUUGAUGGUUCGAGUUAAAAGCAUUGAUAAAGCUCAGAAUAACAAAGCAACAAAGAGUACUCUGACUGUUUCAGCUGUUGUUAAAAAGGUUAAUGAAAUGUCAAGUUCUAAUUUGAAGAAGGUAUCAAGAAUCAGUGAUGCUGAAAUUUCUAAGGUUUCUGCUCCAUGAGUAUUAAGAAUAACGAGAAGACAAAAGCUCCGACAAUAAGCGAUAAAGAUGUAAAAGAGAAAACUGUGUGUGCUGUUGAAGCUAGCGGCAAAGGUGUUCAAAGUAAGAAGGAAGCAUCAUCUGAAACAAAAAAAAAACAUGAGUAGUUGACAUAAAAGCUUGGCUACUCCUAAAAAGAUACGUGGUGAUGCAGAGCUUGAAGCAGAUCAAAGAUAUAUAAGAUCACUUAGAACUGAUUUAAUUCAAUCGAUUUUUAGUUUAGCUUUAGUUCAAAGAAAAAACAUUUGGACCAAGUUGGCAGGCUCAUUACCCCAGUAUAACAUCCACAAAAAUCAAGUUUAGAAACUCACGUUAAUUUGAAUGAUUAAAGCAAAUCCCAAGUCUUAUAACAUGAAA